rnacentral:rRNA from 1 species
UACGUAGGGUGCAAGCGUUAAUCGGAAUUACUGGGCGUAAAGGGCGCGUAGGCGGCCUGCUAAGUCGGACGUGAAAUCCCUCGGCUCAACCGGGGAACUGCGUCCGAUACUGGCGAGGCUUGAAUCCGGGAGAGGGAUGUGGAAUUCCAGGUGUAGCGGUGAAAUGCGUAGAUAUCUGGAGGAACACCGGGUGGCGAAGGCGGCAUCCUGGACCGACACUGACGCUGAGGAGCGAAAGCCGGGGAGCAAACGGG